rnacentral:tRNA from 1 species
AUGGUGGUAGUAUACUAAAGUACAGCUGCCUUCCAAGCGGAAAGACCUUAAAGGCCAUCAUA